rnacentral:rRNA from 1 species
UUGACCUCAAAUCGGGUGAGACUACCCGCUGAACUUAAGCAUAUCAAUAAGCGGAGGAAAAGAAACUAACAAGGAUUCCCCUAGUAACUGCGAGUGAAGCGGGAAAAGCUCAAAUUUAAAAUCUGGUGGUCUUCUGGCCAUCCGAGUUGUAAUUUAGAGAAGCGUCUUCCGCGCUGGACCGUGCACAAGUCUCCUGGAAUGGAGCGUCAUAGAGGGUGAGAAUCCCGUCUUUGGCACGGACUCCCAGGGCUUUUGUGAUGCGCUCUCGAAGAGUCGAGUUGUUUGGGAAUGCAGCUCAAAAUGGGUGGUGAACUCCAUCUAAAGCUAAAUAUUGGCGAGAGACCGAUAGCGAACAAGUACCGUGAGGGAAAGAUGAAAAGCACUUUGGAAAGAGAGUGAAACAGUACGUGAAAUUGUUGAAAGGGAAACGCUUGAAGUCAGUCGCGUCGACCGAGACUCAGCCUCGCCUCGGCUUGGUGUACUUCUCGGCCGACGGGUCAGCAUCGAUUUCGAUCCUCGGAUAAUGACGAGGGAAAGGUGGCACCCUUUCGGGUGUGUUAUAGUCCUCCGUCGCAUGCGAGGGUCGGGAUCGAGGAACUCAGCACGCGCCUCUCGGCGUCGGGGCUUCGGCUCACGUUACGUGCUUAGGAUG